AGCGAACGUUAGCGGCGGGCCUAACACAUGCAAGUCGAACGCGAAAGGUCUUCGGACUGAGUAGAGUGGCGCACGGGUGAGUAACACGUAGGUAAUCUACCCUUUGGCGGGGGAUAACGUUCCGAAAGGAGCGCUAAUACCGCAUAAGACCACGGAGUCUCCGGACGCUGUGGGAAAAGGUGGCCUCUUCUUGAAAGCUACCACCGAAGGAUGAGCCUGCGUCCCAUCAGCUAGUUGGUAAGGUAAUGGCUUACCAAGGCGAAGACGGGUAGCUGGUUUGAGAGAAUGAUCAGCCACACUGGCACUGGAACACGGGCCAGACUCCUACGGGAGGCAGCAGUGAGGAAUAUUGGGCAAUGGGCGAAAGCCUGACCCAGCCACGCCGCGUGAGUGAUGAAGGCCCUCGGGUCGUAAAGCUCUAUGGAGAGGGACGAAAACCCUGGUUUCAAAUAGGCUCCAGGCUUGACGGUACCUCUUUAGCAAGCACCGGCUAACUCUGUGCCAGCAGCCG
rnacentral:rRNA from 1 species